rnacentral:rRNA from 1 species
UGAACGCUGGCGGCGUGCCUAACACAUGCAAGUCGAACGGAGAUUAGACGCUGCAGAGAUUUCGGUCAAAGCUUGUUAAUCUUAGUGGCGGACGGGUGAGUAACGCGUGGGCAACCUGCCUCAUACUGGGGGAUAGCAGUUGGAAACGACUGAUAAUACCGCAUAAGCGCACGGUGUCGCAUGACACAGUGUGAAAAAACUCCGGUGGUAUGAGAUGGGCCCGCGUCAGAUUAGCUAGUUGGUAAGGUAACGGCUUACCAAGGCGACGAUCUGUAGCCGGACUGAGAGGUCGGACGGCCACAUUGGGACUGAGACACGGCCCAAACUCCUACGGGAGGCAGCAGUGGGGGAUAUUGCACAAUGGAGGAAACUCUGAUGCAGCGACGCCGCGUGAAGUGAAGAAGUAUUUCGGUAUGUAAAGCUCUAUCAGCAGGGAAGAAAGACUCGCAAGAGAGAUGACGGUACCUGACUAAGAAGCCCCGGCUAACUACGUGCCAGCCGCCGC